UACGUAGGGUGCAAGCGUUGUCCGGAAUUAUUGGGCGUAAAGAGCUCGUAGGCGGUUUGUCGCGUCUGCUGUGAAAUCCCGAGGCUCAACCUCGGGCCUGCAGUGGGUACGGGCAGACUAGAGUGCGGUAGGGGAGAUUGGAAUUCCUGGUGUAGCGGUGGAAUGCGCAGAUAUCAGGAGGAACACCGGUGGCGAAGGCGGGUCUCUGGGCAGUAACUGACGCUGAGGAGCGAAAGCGUGGGGAGCGAACAGG
rnacentral:rRNA from 1 species